rnacentral:tRNA from 1 species
UCCUGGUUAGCUCAGUUGGUAGAGCGCUCCAUUGGAGAUGGAGAGAUCCCUGGUUUGAUAUUAGGGGCAGGCG